rnacentral:rRNA from 1 species
GCGUGAGGGAUGACGGCCCUAUGGGUUGUAAACCUCUUUUGCCGGGGAGCAAAGUGCCGCACGUGUGCGGUUUGGAGAGUACCCGGAGAAAAAGCAUCGGCUAACUCCGUGCCAGCAGCCGCGGUAAUACGGAGGAUGCGAGCGUUAUCCGGAUUUAUUGGGUUUAAAGGGUGCGUAGGCGGACGCUUAAGUCAGCGGUAAAAUUGCGGGGCUCAACCUCGUCGAGCCGUUGAAACUGGGUGCCUUGAGUGGGCGAGAAGUACGCGGAAUGCGUGGUGUAGCGGUGAAAUGCAUAGAUAUCACGCAGAACUCCGAUUGCGAAGGCAGCGUACCGGCGCCCAACUGACGCUGAAGCACGAAGGCGUGGGUAUCGAACAGGAUUAGAUACCCUGGUAGUCCACGCAGUAAAC